rnacentral:lncRNA from 1 species
GCCGACGCACCUCUCCGACGUGGGCGGAGAUGCAGGGAACCACCACGUUGUACGGCAACCAACGUGCCGCCCCUCUGUGGGCGGGGAUUCACACUAGCUGUCUGUGUCAAGGCCACGGAGAAAUCUAUUGGAAAUCGCUGUGGAAACAAACGCAAAUGAAAAGCCGCAAAGAGCAAAGGAAUUGGCUCAUGUGAUUAAGGCAGAGAGGCCCUGCAAUCUGCCAUCUGCAAGCUGGAAAACCAGGACAGCUGGUGGUAUAAGCCCUAGUCUGAGUCCAGAGUCCCAAGAACCAGGAGUGCUGAUAUUCAAGAACAGAGACCAUGAAUGUCCCAGCUUAAGCAGAGAGAAAAUUCACUCUCCUCCGCAUGUUUUUCUAUUCAGACCCUCAACAAAUUGGAUGAUACUCACCUACAUUGUGAAGGCAAUCUUCUUUACUUAGUGUACUGAUUCCAAUGCCAAUCUUUUCUGAAACCACCUUCACAGACCCACA